GUAACUCAUGAGUAUAAAGACCCCCUAUAAGUAUGCUGGCUUAUUACUUUCCUUGGUUUAUUUUUAAAUCGAUAACGCUAUAGUUAUUAAUCUUUACACUAAAAUAAUUCAUUGGCCAAAAAUAUAAUAAUUAUUCAUAAUUAAUUUAAACAAAAUCACGAACCGCCUUUUCUAUGGAAGUCUCAGUUUAAUGUAUAAGGCAAUUCUUGAUUUUUAUUUAUCUUUGAUAAAGUAUGAAAUACAUUUUUGGUAUUGUUUGAAAAUAUUUUUUUCGUGUUUCUUUUUCUGUUAAUGAUCAGCAUUGUCUGGUUGUUUGCAAGCGUGUUCCAUUGAUUCUAGUGCAGUAGGUCGUGGGUUCGAACCCCGGUAGGUCAUACCAAUGACUUGAAAAUUGAAAGAAUAAUGUGAAAGAUAACUUGUGAUCACUUGUGACAUACGAACAUCAAAAAUCCGGUUAAGUAACAAUGUUGGUCUAUUUUUCUCUGUACCUAUUCUUAUGGUUAAUGAUUAUGUAUAAUAAAUAUAUUCUUAUUGAUGCUUAUCUUUUAAAAGCUUAUAACUUGCUGUUGGACAUACAUAUAUAUAUACAUAUACAUAAGAACGUGUGUUGAAGCUUUUCGAUAGUACAGGUCACAAGAGAAUCGGAAAAUUUAAGUUGACCAACAGAGAUUAAUUUUAAUAUUGAAACUUGAUUUGUUACUUACUAGGCUAGUUAAUAAUAAAAACCGCAUUUCUGUUAUAUGUUUUAUUUUUUUAUUAUAGAUGGUAAUGCUGGAAAAAGCUUCUACCGUUAGAGGUACCCGAACCACCCUAAAAAAAAGCCCAAAAGCUCGGCGAAUUGCCUCACUUUAAAUGAACAUGCCCUACGGCCUUGGAUAAUAGUGGUGUUUAAUUUUAUCUUUCUUGAAAUAAAUAUAUUAGAAAUGAGGUGAAAUAUGGCAUUGAUUAAAGGAGAUGUACCAAGGAAAACAUGUGACUGAAUAAACAUUUUAUUAAAAAAGGAUGAACAAUACAGUUUUGAGUUUCAAUCCUUUCAUAUAUUAAAAUAAAAUGAUAUUUUGUAGGGACCAAACAACUGAGCAGAAAGAAGAACCGUAUGACCUUGAAGAGUAAGCAAUGUAUUAAGUAUAUUUGGGGUUACCAAAGAGUAUGGUAAGAACCUCAUCUUAAAUUAUACUUGAGUUCUUACAAAGAUGCAUAGGUAUAAAAUAUUUAUUAUUUUUUGUCUUUUGGUGUAUUUUUGUCAAUGAGUUAAAACCCAAAGAACAGUACAUCGAUCAGAAGUAAUAAGUUUGACUAGUGUAAUUUGAGAGAGAACACUCUGGAACACAAAAAAUAUCCUACCUCAUAAAAAUUUAACACGACAUCUUAUUUUCACCUUUUUUCAUUGAAGCAGCACACAGUGUAGUCAAGAAUGUAUGCAUGUCCUUGAACUUCUAGAAAUACAAUACCUAAUAGUUAAAACAGUCUGGUAUAAUGGUCAACAAGAGCUACAUAAAAAAAAGGAAGAUACCAAAGUUAAAUUAAAAAAAUAUGUAUUUAAUUUUUGAAAUUUACCUCAAAGAAAAUAAAAUAAAGUUUAAUUGAUUUUUUUCUUAUAUGUGUAAUGUUGUAUAUGUAUUUUUAUUUCAUUUCAGAGUUCAACAACAGAUUAUUAAUUCUAUUAUUUUGUUUUUCGCAGAUUGCAGCAGUGGGAUGUUACAGUCAUAGACGUUGGAUAGACUCCGUUGUACUAGGCCAGGGAGGGUAGCACAGAGUUUCCGCAGCACUAUACAAUAGUAACAAGAUCACUCUACCAUGAGCUUGUUAAAGGGCCCGUUUGAUGAAAGUGACAACAACGUUCUCCACGACACUACAGAUUUGUUUUUGCAGAUGCAGCCGAGAGGAUGUUUCAGUCAUGGACUCAUUUGAUGGAAGUGACACCAACAUUCUCAAACACUAAUAAUUUACAAAUUUGUUUUUGUUGUAGAUGCAACCUCAGUCAUACACCCUAGAGUUUGGCUAUGUUGUGACAGAAGAAGAGUGGCAUGUAGAUUUCUUUUAUGGAAGUGCAAAUAACUAAUCUUUCUUCUUCAUAUCUAUUUCAGAGUUCUUACGAAGAUGUAUAGGUAUGCAGUAUUUAUUAUUUUUGUCUCUGUGUAUUUUUGUCAAUGAGGUAAAACCACAGAACAAAUCAAUCAGAAGUAUUAACUGGUGUAAUUUGAGAACACCCUGGAACACGAGAAAUAUCCUACCUCACAAAAUUUAACA